CUUAGCGGAUCUUAUUACUGCA
rnacentral:siRNA from 1 species